rnacentral:lncRNA from 1 species
AGGUUCAGCACUUUGUUGGGUUUUCCAACAUAUCAUUCAGCAUAGUAUCCUUCAUGAAAAGCAUUGCUAAACUUUGUUAUAUACGUUGAAUUGCAUUGCCUUACUAUAUGCAUUUGUGCUUGUUUUGUCUGUCAGAUUUUAGGUCACAUGAAGAUAGAUCCUCAGUCAUUAAUGUUGGUUACCGUGGUUCAGAAUCUACAGAAAUUGGGAUAUGUUUUUAAGAUAUUUGCAGUAGGGAAUGGGAGGGCCCACUCAAUAUGGGAAAAUUUAGCUGGUGAUCUGUCUCUUUUGAGCACAGAACAACAAGGCCAGACUGAUUGGUCAAUUUACGAAGGCAUCAUUGUUGACUCCCUGGAAGCUAAAGAUGCCAUUUCAAGCCUUAUGCAGAACCCUUUUUGUUCAGUACCAUUGAUAUGGAUUAUUCAAGAAGAUAGCCUUUCAAGUCGUCUACCAUUUUAUAAUAAUAUGGGUUGGGAACAUCUUAUUUCCCAUUGGAGAAGUGCUUUUAGCAGAGCCAGUGUUGUUGUCUUUCCAGAUUUCACUUAUCCGGUAAAGUUAAUGUUAUAAUAUCACACAGACAGGAAUAUGGUCAGUUUUAGAAGUUAUUCUCGAUUAGAGUCGGCCUUAAUUGUUUUGAAGGCAGGAUCUGAGUUAAUAUUUCUUCCUGAAUCAGAUGUUAUACAGUGAGCUCGACACUGGAAACUUCUUUGUGAUUCCUGGAUCGCCAGUAGAUGUGUGGGCUGCAGAAAGCUAUAGUACGGCCCACACAAAGGAUCAGCUCAGAGAACUUAGCGGAUUUGGUAAAAAUGAUAUGGUGGUUGUAGUUGUUGGGAGCUCUAUCUUCUAUGAUGACUUAUCUUGGGACUAUGCGGUGGCAAUGCAUUCCAUAGAGCCUCUGCUGACAAAAUAUGCAAGGAAAAAUGAUGCAGCUGAGUCAUUUAAAUUUGUUUUCUUAUGUGGCAAUGCCACUGAUGGUUAUGAUGAUGCUUUACAGGUAGUCCUUCUUUAAGGUGAGUUGUGCAUGACUAAUUUUUUUAGAGGGUGUGCUUGGCGCAACAGUAAGGUUGUUGCUUAGUGACUGAUAGAGAAGUUGUAGCCGAGAAACAAGAGAUGGGCCUCAACUUUG